UUAUUGUAGGUGACUUUAAUAUAAUCAAAAAUCAUGCAGAGAGAUGAGGUGGCAGACCUCAUCUGUUUGGUGCAAUGGAUGCAUUUAAUCAAUUCAUUGAUAAUGAGGGGAUGGUGAAAAUGACAUCACUUCGAGGUCAUCUAUCUUGGUGUAAUGGACAUAGUGGAUGGACAAGGAGUUGGGCUUGUUUGGAUAGAGUCUUAUGUGAUUCCUCUUGUUUGGAGACCUUUCCUGGUGCGCAUAUGAAGUAUUUGUCCAGAGUUUCAUCAGAUCAUUCUCCUAUAAUUAUUUCUCUUUUGGAUGGUCAGGUUUGUUAUGGCCCUUCUCUGUAUAAGUUCCAGCAAAUGUGGACAUCACAUGAGAGUUUUCAUGGUCUUGUGGCAAGGACUUGGAUGGAAGAGAUGUCGGGGAAUGGAUUAUGGUGGUUAGCAGGAAAGUUAAAAAAAUUAAAGAUUGCUCUUAAAGUGUGGAAUAAAGAAGUGUUUGGGUGGACUCAGGUUCAUAUUCAGAAUCUGGAAAAAGAACUAGAAGGAUUGGAGUCUAACCUUCAGGCAGCUUUUUAUGAGGAAGAUGAAUAUGCUUAUUUGGCUAUAAAAUUGGAACUGGAGACUUGGGAGAAGAGGGAGGAGAUGAGGUUGGCACAACAGGUUAAGCAAAGGCUAGACCUGGUGGACCUCUUCCGGAUUUAUUUCCAUGGGUUGAGAAAAUUAUUUUUGAGGAAGAAAAUGUUAUCUUGUGUUUAAUGUCUACUAGGGAGGAUGUAAAGGAAGUUUUGUUCUCGAUUUCGGUAGAUAGUAGUUCGGGGCCAGAUGGGUUUGGCUCGGGCUUUUUCAAAGAAUGUUGGGAUAAUUGUUCAGAAGGAUGUGGUAGAAGUAAUUUGUGAUUUUUUUCGAGGCUCGAAUUUUCCAUGGUAUUAUUCUUCUUCUUAUGUGGUCCCUAUUCCCAAACUGAGCAAUCCAAGAGGCUUUGAUAAGUUUAGGCCUAUCAGCCUUUGCUUCGUUUCAUACAAGGUGUGCCCGAAAUUACUAGUUCAACGUUUAGCUCUGGUGCUCCCUCGCAUUAUUUUCUUGGUACAGGGAGCGUUUAUACUUAGUAGAAGCAUAUUUGAGAAUGUCACCUUAACACAAGAGUUAGUACACAGUUUAAACAGACAAACAAGGGUGGUAAUGUGAUGAUCAAGGUUGAUAUUGCAAAAGCUUAUGAUAGUAUCAAUUGAGAAUUUCUGAUGCAUGUGUUUUCUUCAUUUGGAUUUUCUGUCCAGGUGUGUAAUUUGAUUAAACAGUGUUCUCUUCUCCUUGGUGUUCGAUGGUGAUGAAUGGCACGGCUAAAAGUUUUUUUAAAGGUGGGCGAGGCUUGAGAUAGGGAGAUCCAUUGCCACCUUCUCUUUUUAUCAUUGUUGAAGAGAUUUUAUCUUGUUUGUUAAAGGCAAAAUUUGAAGAUGGUACCAUUGAGAAGUUUUCUUUACCUCGAGGGGCUCCUUUGAUCUCACAUUUACUGUAUGCAGAUGAUAUAGUUAUCUUUUCUAAUGGGGGAAAGAAGUCAUUGCGAAGUAUUAAGGAGGUUUUUCGGUUGUAUGCGAAAUGGUCGGGGCAAGUUAUUAACUUAGGCAAAUCUGCAAUUUUUUUCUCUCCAAAAAUCUCCAUGUCUCAAAGAAGAGUGUUGCUUAGACUUAUUGGUUUUGCAGAAGGUAAUUUUCCCUUCAAGUAUUUGGUUGUCCGAAUUGUUCUUGGGAGACUUAAAGCACAUGAUUUGGAUGAGGUGGUGGAACAUAUAAGAGAGAAGCUUGCUGGUUGGCAGCAUAAGGUGUUGUCUAAAGGCGCUAGAUUGACUGUCCUGCGGCAUGUGAUUUCAUAUGGAAAGCAAAAAGAAAAAAAGUGGGUGACAUGGGACAUAUCAUGCAAACCAGUUCAGGAAGGGGGUCUUGGUUUGUGGAGUUUGCUAGAGGUUCAAAGUCUCUCCAUAUGAAGUUUGUUUGGAAGCUUCUAACAGAGGACUCACUAUGGCGAAUUUUUUUAAGGCUAAAUAUGUUAAAGACAAGCACAUUUCCUUGGUGAAUCCUGCUAAAGGAUUGAGGUUUUGGUGAAUGAUCAUGAGGUGUGUUCCGGAUGUUCUUAAGCUUUCUAGAUGGAAAGUAAAGGAGGGUAAUAUUUCCUUUGGGUGGGACAAAUGGUCAGAGUAGCAGCCACUGGGUUUUAACUUGGAUUUAAUAGCUUUUCCGCAUCUUUUGAUUAAGGAGUGUAGAUUGAAUCAAGGGUGGAAUGAGGAGUUGUUGAGUGGAUUGGUAGAGAUUACUCAUCAGCAUGGCAACCCUAAGGAAGGUAAAGAUUGGCUUGUUUGGACAGAAAACUUGGAUGGGAAAUUUUCUACUAAGUAUGCAUGGGAAACUGUGUGAAGCAUUCAUCCCACCAAUGGGCAGCAUGGAUUUGGCAUUCAACACUUUCGAAUAAUAUUUCGAUUAAUAUGUGGUUGGCUAUGAAUAAUGUACUUUUCGUGGAUGACAAGAUAAGGAGGGUUGGAAUAAAUUUAGCAUCAAAGUGUGAAUGUUGUGGUAACGGUGUCUGUGAAGGUUUAAACCAUGUCCUUGUGUUUGGUCAAGUAGCUCAGGAUUUAUGGACAAGGCUUUCAGCUUUGAUGGGCAUUCCUUUUGUGCCGUCAAGAGGUUGGAAAGAAAGAGUUUUAAUUUGGUUCAAGAGAGCUAAGAGGUCUUCUUACAGGGUACUCUGUUAGGCCUGAUUCUGUGUAUUAUGUGCUAGC